rnacentral:lncRNA from 1 species
UACAAGCUGAUGUAUUUGGCAGGGUUACUAUUUCCCAGGGCAAAGCAGGUCUUUUUUUUCACGUUUUGACUAACGAACUAGAGGCUACUGCAAAGAAAGAAGAAAAAGAACAGUAUUAACGCAUUUAUUUGCACAGCACCCCAAUCUUGACCCUCAAUUUUUUCAAUCGCCCCCACAAAUAAAGCCCGGCUGUUUAGACCUGGUGAACCGCCAGGAGCCUGGAGCUCUUUGUAUUAAGCAGCUUCUCGGUUAGGGCGCCCUCCCCCGGCGCCAUGCAACCAAACGCUGGCGGCGCGCUGUAACCUAAGGCCCACACCCGUCUUUUCUUUUCUAGGGGAUGUGGAGACGCUGGUAGCGGGGCCAGGAAGGCUCCGGACGGAGCAGGUUUUCUGGACCACAGACACACUGCCCCGGCGCCCUCCGCAGGCCGCUCCUCCCCAGGCCCAUGACAGUGCCCCGCUGGUUUCCGCCGCGCUGCCGGACUGGAGCUCAGACGGCCUUCGCCAGCCCCCCCAACCCACGCAGAUCCCUGCUGACCUGGGCAAGUCCCCACCCUCGCUGAAGGUUCGAGGACCACCCCGCUUUCCCGAGGGGAGCCAGGCGGCGGGUACUUAUCUCCGACCUCCGGCUAGUGGGAAAGGCCGCGCGACCGCCCGUCCUCCAACUACAGGCACCGCACGGAACAAAAAAAAAAGCCCAACCCUUCACACCACUUCAUCCGCAUCUCAAGACCAGAAGCUGACCCCAGCGGCUCGGGGAAAUGGAGCCCCGCACCGCACAAGGGGGAGGGUGGGACUGGCACCUCCGCACUGCGCGGCCUGCGGAGUCACCGAUUCGCGUUGGGAGCGCGCCAGGAGCGCCAGGGCUCUAGCCGGGGGCUCCGGGCAAGGCGCAACCAGAAGAGGGUUCAGUAUCCCCCAUCACCCCCACCCCCAACCGUGACCCUCUUUCUUUGCGGGCUUUAGGCAGGACACCAGAGACCCAAUUCUAUUUAAAAUUCUCUUUUAAGAAAAGGAACGCCUGUUUUUGCCUUUGGGGGGAAAGGAUGAACUUUCAAAUUGGCUUUAAAUUAUCCACCACUAACAGUUACUCAGUCGCUAACCUGACUAUUCUGACGUCCACCUCCCGUUUGAGGACCUUGCCCAAUAGCAAACGUACUAAGCACUUAACCAAUGAACGGUGUGAAGGAUGCAAACAUGGAUGAUGAAGGAAUGGCUCCUCCAAAAUGUACGAUCUUGGGAGAAGUGAGGCGAGUAUAGAAUCUCAGAACACGCUGUAGGAUUGAGUUCGAUCCCAGUUGAGGAAGUUUGGGUUUGGGGAGGAAAUCGGUUAUUUUGGAGAAAUGGUAUUCAAGACCUACCAUAAAUAGCAGUAUAGCCCGUUGACUAAUAAUGCUUAGCCCAACCCCCGUAAAAAGCCCCUGGCCACAUCCGUCUCCUGAGAUUCCCACUUCUCUGUGUGCAUCUCCCUUCCUGCUGUAAGAAACCUAACUUUGCCUUUGUAGAACACUUCUUUUAAUUUCUGUCAUUCAGUCUCAUAACACUGUGUAAAAGAAAUUAUGAUCUUCAUCCUAUAUAGAUGAGAAAACAGGUGAAGUGACUUUUCCAAGGUACAAAAACAAGAGGCAGAGCUGAGGCUAAAGGCAGACUCCAGAUAUGGGCUCUUUCUACAGCACCAUAACUGUCAGUGACAAAACUGC